rnacentral:rRNA from 1 species
GUGGAGCAGUCCAUGAGUACAGUGGCGUACGGGUGAGUAACACGUGGAUCAUCUACCUCUUGAUGGGGAAUAACCCUGGGAAACCGGGGCUAAUACCGCAUAAGCCUGUAAAGGGAAAGCAGCAAUGCGUCGAGAGAGGAGUCCGCGGCCGAUUAGCUAGUUGGUAGGGUAAAGGCCUACCAAGGCAAUGAUCGGUAGCCGGCCUGAGAGGGCACACGGCCACACUGGCACUGAAACACGGGCCAGACUCCUACGGGAGGCAGCAGUGGGGAAUCUUGCACAAUGGAGGAAACUCUGAUGCAGCGACGCCGCGUGAGCGAUGAAGCCCUUCGGGGUGUAAAGCUCUUCCGGCAGGAACG